GAUUAAAAAAAACUAAAACUAAAACUGAAACUGUUAGACAUACAAUUGUUGAAAUUGGAAGAAUAACUAGUAACAUGAAAGCUUUAUAAUUUGUACCUCUAGAUGAAGUGACCUUAUGAUUAUUUAUUCUGAAACUAUAGGACAAUAAGCAAGAAUAUUGCUAAGAUAGAUUGUAAAACCUGAUGACUAUUGUGGCAGUUUUCUACUAAUAGAGUUACUGAGAUGCAUACAAAUAAUUGUUGUUAUUGUUAUAUGAUAAGACCUAUAGAGUGUGAACUACAACAAAUUAUAUCUAUGGUGUGUGAAUUUACAUUCUGCAAUAUAUGUAUAUUGUUAUUCUAUCUAUACGCGUUGUGUCUUGGUCCCGAGGUGUUCGACCCUCGACAAGUUGUUUGUUAUGAUUGUUAGAUGGCUGUUAUUAUAGUCGUUAUGUUAUUCGAUAUAUUUAUGUGACAAGUGAUUUCUAUUGCUUGAGAGGCCAAGAUUGGUUCCAUGAGAGUAGUAUGUAGGUCUGAGUCUCUUUCUCUAAUUUGUUUGGAUGUACGAGAUUGUUGAUGUACGUGGCAUUAGGUCUACGCACACGAUGCGGUGACAAAAGUCAAGAGGACUGAAUAGAAAGUAAGGAAUCGAUGGUUCUAUUGCAUUUGCAAGGAGGUGAGAUUAUGUUGAGAAAGUAGAUGAUGGACAAAAAUACACUGGGAUAUAGUGGGCAAAGAGAUUCGAAGAACUUAGGGGAAUUAGCAAGUGGUGACUACCUAACAUUUGGUAUACUCAUUUUGCACAAGAAACUCACAGGCCUUACACUACCAAAAAAAAUAUUUUUGACGACAUGUAUUUAAAGUCGGUUGUCGAAAGACCAUCGUUGUUUGGGGGCGAUGACAAUUUUGUAAACAUUAUCAACAUUUCAAAGAUGAUUUUCGUGAAACAGUCUUUGAAUAGUGUAAAACGGAGACGGUUUUUGCAAAAUCAUCUUUGAAUUUGGAUAAUUAUAAAUUUGAACCUAUUGUCGUUCCUCUCCUUUCACUAGCCAUCUUCUUGUUCUCCUCUUUUCAAUGCCCUCUCUCCUCUUCCCACUGCCUUCUCUUCUCUUCCCAAUGUCCUCUCUCCACCAUUUCCUCGACGCCAAGGGCCACUGCCUCCUGGAAAUGCCCAUCGGCAUAGGGAAAACCAUCGCACUCCUCUCAUUGAUCACAAGCUACGUUCUUUCGAAGCCCUAUUCCCCGUUCAAGCUCCUCUAUUGCAGCCGCACCGUCCAUGAGACGGAGAAGACGCUCGCUGAGCUGUCUUCUCCUUGAUUACUAGCUCUACCACCUUGGCUCCACCACCAAGAUCCUCUCCCUUAACCUCAAAUUCAGGAAGAAUCUUUGCGUUAUCCCGCGGGUUCUCGCCACUGAGAAUCGCAACUCCAUGGCUUCCUCGGUCUUCCCUAUGAGUUCCAAGUCGAGAUCCCUGCCAGGGUCCCCAAUGCCAAGUUCAUAGUUUGGACGAUACUAACUCUAUCCUAUCCUCUGGUUGUGAUGGGUCUGAGAGCAGCAUAUAGAGGCUAAUCAAGUUGCGAAAUUCUGCAAUGCAUUCAUAUCAAGAGUACAAAAUUCCAACUGCUUGGAUGCUUGAUUCAGGAAUCAUGACCAAUGCUUCUAUGACUCUGGUCAAGAUGUCUGCAGAUAAAGCAGGCUUCUAGGACCAAGGUAUCCACGUUUCAAAGGUUGGACAGGCCGUCAACCAUUGCCUGUUGACGCAUACUUGUUGCCAGAUGUGGUUCCAGGAUAUAAAACCCCAUUUAGACUUCUUCCUUAUCGAGAAGGCCUUGUUUAACCAACAAGGAAAUGACUAACUUCCGUAGGCUUGCAAGAACAUCAGCUCCACACUUUGCC